rnacentral:rRNA from 1 species
UACGGGGGGGGCAAGCGUUGUUCGGAAUUACUGGGCGUAAAGGGCUCGUAGGCGGCCAACUAAGUCGGAUGUGAAAUCCCCAGGCUCAACCUGGGAACUGCAUCCGAUACUGGAUGGCUUGAAUCCGGGAGAGGGAUGCAGAAUUCCAGGUGUAGCGGUGAAAUGCGUAGAUAUCUGGAGGAAUACCGGUGGCGAAGGCGGCAUCCUGGACCGGCAUUGACGCUGAUGAGCGAAAGCUAGGGGAGCAAACGGGG